rnacentral:lncRNA from 1 species
GACCAAAUUAUAUUUCUAUCAGAGCUCGACUUGAAAUAUUUUUUUCUAUUUCGGAUCAAACUUAAGUCUAAAAAAAUUUUAAACUUUAAGACUCGAGCCCAAUCUGAAUCCAACCAAGCUAGUCCCAAUUAUUUAUUUGAUCCAACUAUUAGGUUGGCCCGAAUUUAAAACCUCCAUGUGUAACAUAAAAUAUUUUAAUUCGUAACCAGUAAUUCUAUCAACCCACCCAU